GGAAAUGUGCCUGAAUAAAGGACCACUAUGAUAAAGUGAACAUAGAGGUAUACCAAUCCUCUCAUUUCCU
rnacentral:tRNA from 1 species